rnacentral:rRNA from 1 species
GACGAACGCUGGCGGCGUGCUUAACACAUGCAAGUCGAACGAUGAACAGGAGCUUGCUCCUGGGAUUAGUGGCGAACGGGUGAGUAACACGUGAGUAACCUGCCCUUGACUCUGGGAUAAGCGUUGGAAACGACGUCUAAUACCGGAUAUGACCCUCGCUGGCAUCGGCUGGGGGUGGAAAGAUUUUUUGGUCAAGGAUGGACUCGCGGCCUAUCAGGUAGUUGGUGAGGUAAUGGCUCACCAAGCCGACGACGGGUAGCCGGCCUGAGAGGGUGACCGGCCACACUGGGACUGAGACACGGCCCAGACUCCUACGGGAGGCAGCAGUGGGGAAUAUUGCACAAUGGGCGAAAGCCUGAUGCAGCAACGCCGCGUGAGGGAUGACGGCCUUCGGGUUGUAAACCUCUUUUAGUUGGGAAGAAGGGAGCUUGCUCUUGACGGUACCAGCAGAAAAAGCACCGGCUAACUACGUGCCAGCCGCCGCCGUAACAC